UUCUCCAAACUUCUAACGCCGCCUCUCUCAUGAAGUCUCUGAAAAUUAAAAUUGAGAGAAAACAAAACUUCUCUAGUGUCAUUUUGUAAGCUACCACGCCAACUAAUUUUUGAUGAGAUUGGAUGAAGAGACAGAGAGAGAUAUCUUUGGUGGACUACGCUUCAUCCUGAGACGACGACAUAUCAGAGCAGAAAGAUGAACAGUCACGAAACCCUAACGAACAACCACAAAUUUCUACCCACC
rnacentral:lncRNA from 1 species